ACUUAGAAAGUUCAUGAAAAUUCCAAAUUAGUCUUCCUUCCACGACUCUUCCACUUUCUUCAUCUUUAUCUAUAUUAAUACUAUAAAUUCUUUCAUCAUUUUUGCAUAUCCAACACAACACAACUAGAACAUCUAUUAUUCAAAGCAACAGAACAACCAAAUACUUUGAUACUUCAAACACAACUUAAAAAACAAACAUGUUUAUGUCUAUGUUCAGCCACUUCGAGAUCUCACAGGCCCAGAAAUGGAGCUUUUCCUUUGGUUUUGCCCCGGCAAAGGAUGUAAAUUCAAAGGCUAAUAAAGAAGCGACCGAAUCCAAAACCACAGGGAAAAAUCCAAAAACAUCAACACCCAGUGAAGACAAGCAAAUCCCGGCCCCUUCGAGACAAAGGUUUGCACCGGAGUUGGAUGGCCUACACUGCUUUGAAUUCAUAGUACCUUCUGAGUGAUGGAUUCAGUUCGUAACAAUAACAAAUUAAGCUGCGUAAUUCGAUUCAUUUAUUUUCAAUAGUCUUGAAAAAUUGAGCUAUGUACUGUAAUGUAAAUUAUGUUUAGCAAUAGCAUGUAAAAUUGCAAGUUGAAAAAUUGAAAGAAUAUAGCAUUCUUUUUGUUAAUUAUUGUCGUGAAGCUGUAAAAGAAGUCUAUGGAUCACAGGAUUGGUUUCUGAAUUGGGACUAGUUGAUCGAUCCACACCAUGCAUUCAAUGUGACAGUCAAAGUGUUAUAUCAUUUUAUUACUAUAUUUUCAACCUAUGUUCAAUUCCUCAUCCACAGCGCGUAACAUAUGAAGCAUCUGCUGAAGUUUCUUUUCAGUCAUUUUUUCAACUGAUCACAUGCAAUUUAUGUAUGUGUUUUGAUUGCUGCCUAUUUUUUCAUAACCAAUUUGAUGUGACUAUCACACUCAUACUAUAAUAGCAUCUCCGACCAAUGAUAUAGCUCCUCUUGAAUUUUUAUCUCUUCACUUCUAGACACCACCAUACCACAAAAGAAAUUAUAUCCACCCAUUUUUGGCUGAGACAUGACAAGACUGUUUUCAAAAGGUCCAUAGUUUAUAUUCUAAAUGUUAGUGUACAUAUUCCUACCAAUUUUAGCUAAGGAUGUAAUGGAUGGACUUAAUUUCAUAUGAAAUAAAAAGUAAUAAUGUGAUUUCUUAAAGCUUGGGAAAAAUAGUGGCUUGUUACAGCAGUAACAUAGAUGAAAUAAAGUUUUUCUUUGGCAUUAGUUCAUACGUUACUUUCAUUUCAAGUUUCCCUUUCUCAUGGUUCAAGGCAAUGCUAACCCAACUUUACUAGCCAUUUUUAUCCAUUUUUGUAUGUUUGCUUCUCUUCAUUGCCAAGGCAUAUUCUCUCUGUCUACCCUUGCUAUCCAUACAAAUACAAUCAAUGUUGCAAAAAUGGCUAAAUGUUAAUUUAACUUGAGAGAUUAAUAUGGCUAUGGGAAGUAUUUAUGUAGCUGUGCCUACUCUUGCUGCUGCUGUUGGAUUUUAUUUCUUAGACAGAAACCAUGUUAAGGAAAUCAAAAAAGAGUUUUCGGUGUCCAAUGAAAAAAUGAUGUUACAAGCGAAAGAUCAAGGGAAGGGCAUUCAAAAUCCAAAAUUCGCACCACAGCUUGAUGGUUUGCAUUGUUUUGAAACCUUUGUGAUGGAUUAAUUUCUUUGGAGCAUGGUUAAUUUAAUUGUAUGUUUGUUAAUUAGUGAUACUGUUGUAUUUCCUCCCCACAAAAAUAGCCUCGUUUUUUAUCUUCAAUUUAGUUAACACAUAACAUAUUCUAUGUUGUGCAACAUAAAUUUAUAUUUCACAGUUUACUCUUGUAUAUAAACUUAAGUUCCCAGCGACAUUUUCAUA